UCGUUCUCUGCAUAUGAGAAUAUAAUAAUAAAAUGAAAUGUCCGCCUAUGAGCUAGGACAUGGAUGUUUCCUAAUUAAUUACUUUCUUUUACGCACCAGCUUUCCCCUGAGUGGUGGGUUUACAGCAUGUGAUGUUACAGAGAAUCAGAGAUGAUAAAAUAUGAUCCAAUCUGUCAAUCAGACUCAUAUUCAAUAUGCU
rnacentral:lncRNA from 1 species